rnacentral:rRNA from 1 species
GUACGAUCUCGCAAGAGAUAGUGGCAGAAGGGUGAGUAACGCGUGGGUAAUCUACCCUCAAAUCGGGGAUAACAUUUCGAAAGAAGUGCUAAUACCCGAUAACACUGCGUCUUCAUAAGUAGAUGCAGUUAAAGGUGGCAGCAAUGCUGCCGUUUUUGGAGGAGCCCGCGUCCUAUCAGCUAGUUGGUGAGGUAACGGCUCACCAAGGCUUUUGACGGGUAGCUGGUCUAAGAGGACGGUCAGCCACAUUGGGACUGAGACACUGCCCAGACUCCUACGGGAGGCUGCAGUCGAGGAUCUUUAGCAAUGCCCGAAAGGGUGACUAUGCGACGCCGCGUGGAGGAUGAAGGCCUUCGGGUUGUAAACUCCUGUCAGAAAGGAAGAAAGUUUAGGUGUUAACAGCAUCUGAAUUUGACAUCACUUUCAAAGGAAGCCACGGCUAACUCUGUGCCAGCAGCCGCGGUAAGACAGAGGUGGCAAGCGUUGUUCGGAUUUAUUGGGUGUAAAGGGUCCGUAGGUGGUUAUGUAAGUCUGGUGUGAAAUCCCACA